UGUUGUGCUAAAUAGUGAUACUAGAAGCUACAUUUAUAAUAUUUACCUCAGUUAAAAAAUACUGCUGGUAACGUUGAAGCACUUGACGGGCUUCGUCAACCGUCAGUUAUAAAAGCUCUGUUAAAUACAUUUUGUUCCGGGUUUUAAUGAAUUACGUUACAGUCCUACUUUAUUUCUUCGUCAUUUUAAAUUAAAUUGCCAAUCAGAAUAAGACAGCUGUGUUGUAAGGAGACGAAAUUCGAGACAGUCAUUAGUGAAGCGCGUGGUGAAAGGAACCGGGUGGAAGACGGUAGAAGGGAAAUUAUAUGUAAAUGUUUGUCGCAGUUUUACACAUAUUCCGUGAGUAUUUUUCGCUUGUUCACGAGUGUUUUAUCAGGGUUGGAGCUAAACUCGGAAGGAAAGUGGAAACUGCUGGCCAAAGUUGAGAACAUUCCGCCGGUCUGUAUUAUAAAUGCACGAUUGCAGUGCAGCGUUUGUUAAUGUGAUGGUAGCUGUUAAGACACUUACAUUUAACAUUCAAAUGUUUUAAAAACCAAACGUGUUCAGGUUUUUAUGUGUAUUUGGUUUGUGAAGUGUAAUUUAUAUGCUUUUUUCCUCUCCCCCACAGAUAACCAUGGUUGAUAAAUGGUCAGACACGUCACUGGCUUUAAAAUAUAAACCCCAUUGAUGCAAAAAGAUGCUGCAUGGAAUGACAAUGAGGUUUGGAACAGACUUGGUGAAGAACAUGGAAACAUCUCUAAAUAAAAUGGCCCCAAACAUCAUCAGGAGUGCAAAAGAAGGAAGUAAAAAACAUCUCUACGCCAAUCUCAUUGGAGAGGAAACCACAGAAGGAACCCAAAGGUCCCACACCAACCAUAGUGUUCAACGGCUCUCCUGAUCUUCUCAAAUCUGAAAGUAUCAACUUUAUAAUGGACAAUGUGAACUUAAUAUGUGGAAGACAUUGACAUCACAGGCUGUGGAAUGACUGUGUCACAGGUCGGAGAAGCGGACCGCCCCUGUCGCGGAUCACGCUCCUCCUAGUUCCACCUCGAGGAGGUCCCAAAGCACCCCAAUGACCAGACAAACCAGAGAUAAGUAAAAUAUAAAAAUAGAAACUUUAUUUAAAUUUAUUUAAAUAGAAACUUUAUUUAAAUUAUUUAAAACUAAAGUGGGGAAUGGGAAAGGGAAUCUAAAAAUCUCGCUUCUCGCCCUCAGGGGGAGUAUUACGGGGCCAGGGACGUUGGAGGGGUUUCCACGUGACUCCAGCUGGAACACCGCUAGAGAGCGUAUCUGGGUGGGUUGGGCACACACCGUCGCGGCGCCCCCUGAUGGCAUCCACAAAGGUCCAAGACCCUCCUAAGCUCCCAGCCGUAGCAGAACUACGUAUUUCAGCACCCGAACGACUAACAACCCAGCCGGCAUCUGCAGCGUAUAUCCAACGCGAUCAAACUUCACUCUGACAAGUAACUUCCUAUACACAACCACGCCGUCCUUUCGCCCAGACCAGCCCCGCACUCUUUCCGUCCGCUACCUAGCGGUCGCCGGAUCAGCAGAGCCUGCGGACUCUUCGGACUCUGCGACCCUUACAGUAACUUCUACCUUCUCUCUUUAUAUCCUCCUCCAUGGCGUGGCUCGCCCAACCAUCGCUCGCCAUGUCACUCACACAGCUGUGCCUUGUUUCAGUGAGUGCGGGGAUUCCCUGGGAACCCGGAAGUGCCGGUGUCUGUACAAACCGGUCCGGGCGGAACCUCUUCACUCUCCUUUUGGUUCCGCCCUGCAUAGUCACUCCGUGACAACUGUUUGAGUUUUUUUUUCUCCUCAAUGUUCAAUACCCUUUUGCCAUUAAGCACACAGUGACAUUAAUUUAUAAAAUAUAUGCUUAAGUUUUAAUACCUGUACAAAACAAAUGUACAAUCAACUUGUGUAAAUUGUCUUUUUAUUUAAUAGAUUGUUCAUGAAUUGUCUUUAAAUGCAUUGUGAUUUCGGUAACACUUUACAAUAAGGUUCAUUAGUUAACAUUAGUUAAUGUAUUAACUAACUUGAACAAACCACGAGCAAUACAUUUGUUACAGUAUUUAUUCAUCUUUGUUAAUGUUAGUUAAUAAAAAUUUAAGCUUUAAUUGCUUGUUCAUGUUAGUUCAGAGUGCAUUAACUAAUGUUAACAAGAUUUUAAUAAAGUAUAAGUAAUUGUUGAAAUUAACAUUAACAAAGAUUAAUAAAGGCUGUAUAAGUGCAGUUCAUUAUUAGUUCAUGUUAACUAAUGUAGCUAACUAAUGUUAACUAAUGAACCUUAUUGUAAAGUGUUACCGUGAUUUCUUUUCAUCAUUUCAGACACAUGUAAAAGUUACUAAAAAUUAGUACUGCAUAUACUGUACAGUAUCUAUGCGUAAGGGAAAUAACUUGAACAAAAUUUUUAAUGUAUAGUGUAAUUAAGAGUUUAGCUGUUUAAUA